CAUGCAAGUCGAACGGAAAGGCCCUUCGGGGUACUCGAGUGGCGAACGGGUGAGUAACACGUGGGUGAUCUGCCCUGCACUUUGGGAUAAGCCUGGGAAACUGGGUCUAAUACCGAAUAGGACCGCGCUCUUCAUGGGGUGUGGUGGAAAGCUUUUGCGGUGUGGGAUGGGCCCGCGGCCUAUCAGCUUGUUGGUGGGGUAAUGGCCUACCAAGGCGACGACGGGUAGCCGGCCUGAGAGGGUGACCGGCCACACUGGGACUGAGAUACGGCCCAGACUCCUACGGGAGGCAGCAGUGGGGAAUAUUGCACAAUGGGCGCAAGCCUGAUGCAGCGACGCCGCGUGAGGGAUGACGGCCUUCGGGUUGUAAACCUCUUUCAGUACCGACGAAGCGCAAGUGACGGUAGGUACAGAAGAAGGACCGGCCAACUACGUGCCAGCAGCCGCGGUAAUACGCAGGGUCCGAAGCGUUGUCCGGAAUUCUGGGCGUAAAGAGCUCGUAGGUGGUUUNGUCGCCGUUUGUUCGUGAA
rnacentral:rRNA from 1 species